rnacentral:tRNA from 1 species
GGGGGUAUAGCUUAGUGGUAGAGUGCACACUUGGCAUGCUGGAGGUCCUAGGUUUAAUCUCCAGUACCUCCA